UGGUCAUUCCUACUUAAGCCAAAACAACUCAGUUGAAGACCAACAUUUACAAAGUUUUACUACAUAACAGUUUUUGUGUUACGAAGGGCUUAUCUUUAAUGAGAGAUUUUUGUCUUAUUUUAUACAGUAAAUGUUCGGGCUUCAACUUCUGUGGUAAUAUAAUUAUAAAGAAAAUCAGUUUUAUGUUUACAUAUAGCUAAAAUUCUAUACUUUUUUUGCCCUUUUGAGUUUAACCUUUUAUUUAAACUCUUCUUACUCUGAUUAUGGUGCAACUGAAGACGAUGACAUCAUAAUCAGUAAAAUUUACAUAGAAUAUUUUGCCAGUAUUUUGUAGUACAUUUUAUCAUAUUAUCAUUGACUAACAACUGUGAUUUUUUUUUUGUUGCAUCUCUUCUCCUACACUGAUUUGUGCGUCACCUGCAAACUAAGUGUACAAAUAUAUCAUGACGCUGAACAUCGGUAUCAAGCCAUCUAGCCUGAAUGCUUCACAAAUAGAGGAACUUGUGAAAGAGCAUCUCAAAAAAAUUGAAAAGUCUGCAGGGUUAAUCAGAUUUACCCCGAAGACAUGAGAGGCGAGGACUUCUUUCAAAUAAAGAGACACAAAUGGCUUGUGGAAAUUUCUACUCGUCAGAAAUGUUUGACCAAAAUUGUUUUUUGUUUUGUAAUUUGUUUUGCAUCUUAGUAUAAUACAAGAAAAAGGUAAUGCUUUUUUUUUCUUUUACUUUGUAUAACUUCUUAU